GUCCGCGUGGCCUAAUGGAGAAGGCGUCGGAUUCCACAUCUGAAGAUUGCAGGUUCGAGCCCUGUCGCGGACG